rnacentral:rRNA from 1 species
UACAGAGGGUGCGAGCGUUGUCCGGAAUCACUGGGCGUAAAGGGCGCGUAGGUGGCGACCCAAGUCCAUGGUGAAAGCUCGAUGCUCAACAUCGAGUCGGCCACGGAUACUGGGUUGCUGGAGCACUGUAGAGGCAGAUGGAAUUCCGGGUGUAGCGGUGGAAUGCGUAGAGAUCCGGAAGAACACCGGUGGCGAAGGCGGUCUGCUGGGCAGUUGCUGACACUGAGGCGCGACAGCGUGGGGAGCAAACAGGG